AGACGUGAGCUUGAUAUUGCCAUGAGAGUCUUGGCUUGAUAAAUGAUUUAGAGGACUCUGAUGUUAAAUUGAAGUUUAGUUCUAUGAUUCUUGUGAUUUCAAAGCAAACCCUCUACUAGUUUUAGAGCUCGGGGCAUCUACUUUUUUUUUUUGUAAUAUUAAUUAUUUUUUAAAAAUAAUGACUUCGUCUAAAGGUGAUUAGGUAGACUAGUCCGAUCUGAGGAAAUCUCUUGACAAAACUGGUCAAUGAGGCCCCUCGAAAUAUUGCACGGACGGCACUUGCCAACAAAAUACCAAUAUUCUCUCCCUCUGCUUCGACGCUCACCAUUCAAGGCUUAUUUAUAAGAGUUAUAGCUUAAAUCUAAUUGAUCCUUCAAGUGCGUUUGUGCCAACAUACUGUGCACAACACCAAAUUCGACCUACUCAUUCAUGAUGUCCUUUCCUUCCUCGGAGUGUUCACUGGCCACUGCCGUUCAGAAUGAUGUUUCAAAGACAUGAUUUUUGUUUUCCUCCCUCCUUCAAAGAACUCGUAAAAGCAACCCUCAAGCGAGGUGGCCACCAGUACUACCAGUACCCUGCCCUUGAAAUCCAUCAAGACCCUUCCCUUAUGUUCCACCAGGAGCACCGGACCUCUCCUUCCUUGCUUGAUAUGGAUCCCUUCCACCGGUGGCAUAAUCCAUAUUGCUCAUUGGCAUGGGAUCUCUUCUUUCACCUUGCCUCUGGGGACCAUAACUUUGCUGAGGAGGAUAAAUUUGCAGAGCAUCCAGCUACAUAUGUCCCCGGUAGCCAAUAUUGAGUGCUUCCUUGUCGAUUCGGCACUUGACCUCCUUUCCGGUCUUAUCUAGGUUGGUCAUAGUUUCUAUUGCAUUCUACCUCCUGGCCUCCCAUACUUGAACUGGAGGUGGUCUAUGAGUAAUCAUUCAUUUUCAUACUUGUCACCGAAUGAUUUAGUAAGUUCAACAAAACAACAAGCGUUGCAGGGUCAUAAAUCAUAGGCAAGUUGAGCUUUUGGAUUUAGAGGAUGAAUGGAUUAAAUGACUGAAAAAUUGUGGUAGAGAUGUAUAGUAGAUGCAUUUAUGUGGAGUCAAUUCAUACCUCCGUGCUCCUUGCUUUGGGAAUCAAUGUAGAAAUAAGGUAAUAUAAAAGCAACUCCAGUUAGAUCUGUUUAGAGCUCAAAAUAUCAAUGCACAACGAUGAUGCGAUACUAAUCAUUCGUUGGUUGCGAUGGGAAACUUAACAAAGACACUUGCUUCUGAAAUGCUCUGCCUCUACUUCAGUCGUGCUACGUGCAUAUAUUCUCUUUUUUGCUUCCUCCAAACUGAAACACAGAGUAUCAACUAUCAUCUUAGCUUUGCAAUGUAGAUCAUGCCACGGUUGCCUAGGGACAUUGACAGUGGACUACACUCAUCACAAAAAGAAAUUAAUUCUCAUGACCAGAAAAUAGCAUAUCCGUGUUAUUACAAUGCUAAAUGUAAACAUUAGUUAAUUACUGCGAAUGUGGGGUUGUGAAUGUCAAUUUUCAAAGACGAUGUCAAGAUUGCUAUAGAGCCCGUGCUCAGGAGCGUCGUAUCGGCCAUCGCAUAGGUCCAAGCUACCAAUGAAAGCUGUUAUUUUGUGGUUUUUUCCAAAGCAAUUUAUUUGUAUGGAGAAAAAGUACACAAUAGAAACCCCCAUUUUAUUGAA